rnacentral:lncRNA from 1 species
AAGGGCCCAAAAAUUACUAGUGUAAAACCAUUCAAACGGGAAAACCAACGGUCUAAUCUAUAUAAAAAACGAGAGCAUAUUCUUAAAAUAUUUUCCCGCACAAUAUCUGGACAUCGGUGGACAUGCAACAUUGCACACGUUUACAAAUGAAAAACAACACUCAGACUAUAGUCAUAAAGUAGGACAAUAAAAGAACAAAAGACAAACCCGUGACACAGAAGUACAAACAAUAGACCAUCAACUCCGAAAACCAAAAGUAAAAU